rnacentral:rRNA from 1 species
UACGGAAGGCAGCAGUGGGGAAUAUUGCACAAUGGGCGCAAGCCUGAUGCAGCCAUGCCGCGUGUAUGAAGAAGGCCUUCGGGUUGUAAAGUACUUUCAGUCGUGAGGAAGGUGUUAAGGUUAAUAACCUUAGCAAUUGACGUUAGCGACAGAAGAAGCACCGGCUAACUCCGUGCCAGCAGCCGCGGUAAUACGGAGGGUGCGAGCGUUAAUCGGAAUUACUGGGCGUAAAGGGCACGCAGGCGGUUAAUUAAGUUGGAUGUGAAAUCCCCGGGCUUAACCUGGGAAUGGCAUUCAAGACUGGUUAGCUAGAGUCUUGUAGAGGGGGUAGAAUUCCAUGUGUAGCGGUGAAAUGCGUAGAGAUGUGGAGGAAUACCGGGUGGCGAAGGCGGCCCCUGGGACAAAGGACUGACGCUCAUGUGCGAAAGCGUGGGGAGCGAAACAGGGAUUAGAUACC